UAUAUUUUAGUAUAAAAUGUAUAAAAGUUUUUGAUACUUUAGGAAUUAGUUUAGUCUAUUAAAUAUAA
rnacentral:tRNA from 1 species